GCCUGGCCCUAAAUCUUGAUGCUCGAUAUUACCUGAGCAUCCGCCCGAGAACUACGAGCACAAACGCUUAAAACUCUAAGGACUUGGCGGUGCUCCAAACCCAUCUAGAGGAGCCUGUUCUGUAAUCGAUGAUCCACGAUAUUACCUGACCAUUCCUUGCACGAAGCAGCCUAUAUACCGCCGUCGCCAGCCCACCUCCCCUGACAGCCCAACAGUGGACGCAAUAGCCUAACCCGCUAGCAAGACAGGUCAAGGUAUAGCCCACGGAAUGGAAGCAAUGGGCUACAUUUUCUAGACUAGAACAUACGGAUAAGGGUAUGAAACUGCCCUUGGAAGGCGGAUUUAGCAGUAAAGAGAGACAAUYGAGCCCUCUUUAAACCGGCUCUGGAGCACGU
rnacentral:rRNA from 1 species